AGGAUGAACGCUAGCGGCAGGCUUAAUACAUGCAAGUCGAGGGGCAGCAUGGUGUAGCAAUACACUGAUGGCGACCGGCAAACGGGUGCGGAACACGUACAGAACCUUCCUUCGAGCGGGGAAUAGCCCAGAGAAAUUUGGAUUAAUACCCCAUAGUAUACCAGAGUGGCAUCACUUUGUUAUUAAAGAUUUAUCACUUGAAGAUGGCUGUGCGGCUGAUUAGGUAGUUGGCGGGGUAACGGCCCACCAAGCCUGCGAUCAGUAACUGGUGUGAGAGCACGACCAGUCACACGGGCACUGAGACACGGGCCCGACUCCUACGGGAGGCAGCAGUAAGGAAUAUUGGUCAAUGGACGAAAGUCUGAACCAGCCAUGCCGCGUGGAGGAUGAAGGUCCUCUGGAUUGUAAACUUCUUUUAUCUGGGACGAAAAAAGGUCUUUCUAGACCGUCUGACGGUACCAGAUGAAUAAGCACCGGCUAACUCCGUGCCAGCAGCCGCGGUAAUACGGAGGGUGCAAGCGUUAUCCGGAUUCACUGGGUUUAAAGGGUGCGUAGGUGGGUUGGUAAGUCAGUGGUGAAAUCUUCGAGCUUAACUCGGAAACUGCCAUUGAUACUAUCAGUCUUGAAUAUUGUGGAGGUUAGCGGAAUAUGUCAUGUAGCGGUGAAAUGCUUAGAUAUGACAUAGAACACCAAUUGCGGAGGCAGCUGGCUACACAUAUAUUGACACUGAGGCACGAAAGCGUGGGGAUCAAACAGGAUUAGAUACCCUGGUAGUCCACGCCCUAAACUAUGGAUACUCGACAUACGCGAUACACUGUGUGUGUCUGAGCGAAAGCAUUAAGUAUCCCACCUGGGAAGUACGAUCGCAAGAUUG
rnacentral:rRNA from 1 species